rnacentral:rRNA from 1 species
GGAAUAUUGGACAAUGGGGGGAACCCUGAUCCAGCGACGCCGCGUGAGUGAAGAAGUAUUUCGGUAUGUAAAGCUCUAUCAGCAGGGAAGAAAGAAAUGACGGUACCUGACUAAGAAGCCCCGGCUAACUACGUGCCAGCAGCUGCGGUAAUACGUAGGGGGCAAGCGUUAUCCGGAUUUACUGGGUGUAAAGGGAGCGUAGGUGGCAUGGUAAGCCAGAAGUGAAAACCCGGGGCUCAACCCCGUGGAUUGCUUUUGGAACUAUCAGGCUGGAGUGCUGGAGGGGUAAGCGGAAUUCCUAGUGUAGCGGUGAAAUGCGUAGAUAUUAGGAGGAACACCGGUGGCGAAGGCGGCUUACUGGACAGAAACUGACACUGAGGCUCGAAAGCGUGGGGAGCAAAC